rnacentral:rRNA from 1 species
UGAGUAACCUGCCCUUAACUCUGGGAUAAGCCUGGGAAACUGGGUCUAAUACCGGAUAUGACUCCUCAUCGCAUGGUGGGGGGUGGAAAGCUUUAUUGUAGUUUUGGAUGGACUCGCGGCCUAUCAGCUUGUUGGUGGGGUAAUGGCUCACCAAGGCGACGACGGGUAGCCGGCCUGAGAGGGUGACCGGCCACACUGGGACUGAGACACGGCCCAGACUCCUACGGGAGGCAG